GACGAACGCUGGCGGCGUGCUUAACACAUGCAAGUCGAACGGAAAGGCCCUGCUUUUGUGGGGUGCUCGAGUGGCGAACGGGUGAGUAACACGUGAGUAACCUGCCCUUGACUUUGGGAUAACUUCAGGAAACUGGGGCUAAUACCGGAUAGGAGCUCCUGCUGCAUGGUGGGGGUUGGAAAGUUUCGGCGGUUGGGGAUGGACUCGCGGCUUAUCAGCUUGUUGGUGGGGUAGUGGCUUACCAAGGCUUUGACGGGUAGCCGGCCUGAGAGGGUGACCGGCCACAUUGGGACUGAGAUACGGCCCAGACUCCUACGGGAGGCAGCAGUGGGGAAUAUUGCACAAUGGGCGGAAGGCUGAUGCAGCAACGCCGCGUGCGGGAUGACGGCCUUCGGGUUGUAACCCGCUUUCGCCUGUGACGAAGCGUGAGUGACGGUAAUGGGUAAAGAAGCACCGGCUAACUACGUG
rnacentral:rRNA from 1 species